GAUGAACGCUGGCGGCGUGCCUAAUACAUGCCAGUCGAGCGAACAGACGAGGAGCUUGCUCCUUCGACGUUAGCGGCGGACGGGUGAGUAACACGUAAGUAACCUACCUAUAAGACUGGGAUAACUUCGGGAAACCGGAGCUAAUACCGGAUAAGAUUUCGAACCGCAUGGUUCGAUAGUGAAAGAAGGCUUUGCUAUCACUUAUAGAUGGACCUGCGCCGUAUUAGCUAGUUGGUAAGGUAACGGAUUACCAAGGCAACGAUACGUAGCCGACAUGAGAGGGUGAUCGGCCACACUGGAACUGAGACACGGUCCAGACUCCUACGGGAGGCAGCAGUAGGGAAUCUUCCGCAAUGGGCGAAAGCCUGACGGAGCAACGCCGCGUGAGUGAUGAAGGUCUUCGGAUCGUAAAACUCUGUUAUUAGGGAAGAACAAACGUGUAAGUAACUGUGCACGUCUUGACGGUACCUAAUCAGAAAGCCACGGCUAACUACGUG
rnacentral:rRNA from 1 species